rnacentral:rRNA from 1 species
AUACGGAGGGUGCAAGCAUUAAUCGGAUUUAUUGGGCGUAAAGGGCAUCUAGGCGGAAAUGUAAGUCAAGCGUUAAAGACCGAAGCUCAACUUCGGAAAAGCGUUUGAAACUGCAUAUCUUGAGGAUAGGCGGGGAAAGCGGAAUUCCACAUGUAGCGGUGAAAUGCGUAGAUAUGUGGAAGAACACCGGUGGCGAAGGCGGCUUUCUAGCUUACUCCUGACGCUGAAGUGCGAAAGCAAGGGUAGCAAACAGGAUUAGAAACCCGGGUAGUCC